rnacentral:rRNA from 1 species
GAUGAACGCUGGCGGCGUGCCUAAUACAUGCAAGUCGAGCGAACGGACGAGAAGCUUGCUCCUCUGACGUUAGCGGCGGACGGGUGAGUAACACGUGGAUAACCUACCUAUAAGACUGGGAUAACUUCGGGAAACCGUAGCUAAUACCGGAUAAUAUAUUGAACCGCAUGGUUCAAUAGUGAAAGACGGUUUUGCUGUCACUUAUAGAUGGAUCCGCGCGGCAUUAGCUAGUUGGUAAGGUAACGGCUUACCAAGGCAACGAUGCGUAGCCGACCUGAGAGGGUGAUCGCCCACACUGGAACUGAGACACGGUCCAGACUCCUACGGGAGGCAGCAGUAGGGAAUCUUCGGCAAUGGGCGAAAGCCUGACGCAGCAACGCCGCGUGAGUGAUGAAGGUCUUCGGAUCGUAAAACUCUGUUAUUAGGGAAGAACAUAUGUGUAUGAAACUGUGCCCGUCUUGACGGUACCUAAUCAAAAAGCCCCGGCUAACUACGUG